rnacentral:piRNA from 2 species
UCCACAGUGCUGCUGCCAAUGGUAGGAAUGGU